rnacentral:rRNA from 1 species
AUUGAACGCUGGCGGCAUGCCUUACACAUGCAAGUCGAACGGCAGCACGGGAGCAAUCCUGGUGGCGAGUGGCGAACGGGUGAGUAAUAUAUCGGAACGUGCCCAGUAGUGGGGGAUAACUGCUCGAAAGAGCAGCUAAUACCGCAUACGACCUGAGGGUGAAAGGGGGGGAUCGCAAGACCUCUCGCUAUUGGAGCGGCCGAUAUCAGAUUAGCUAGUUGGUGGGGUAAAGGCCUACCAAGGCAACGAUCUGUAGUUGGUCUGAGAGGACGACCAGCCACACUGGGACUGAGACACGGCGCAGACUCCUACGGGAGGCAGCAGUGGGGAAUUUUGGACAAUGGGCGCAAGCCUGAUCCAGCAAUGCCGCGUGCAGGAAGAAGGCCUUCGGGUUGUAAACUGCUUUUGUCAGGGAAGAAAUCCUCUAGGUUAAUACCCUUGGGGGGAUGACGGUACCUGAAGAAUAAGCACCGGCUAACUACGUGCCAGCAGCCGCGGUAAUAC